UACCAGCACCCCGAGUGGUCGGGACGUUUAUUGGGCCUAAAGCAUCCGUAGCCGGUUCUACAAGUCUUCCGUUAAAUCCAACUGCUUAACAGGUGGGCUGCGGAAGAUACUAUAGAGCUAGGAGGCGGGAGAGGCAAGCGGUACUCGAUGGGUAGGAGUAAAAUCCGUUGAUCCAUUGAAGACCACCAGUGGCGAAGGCGGCUUGCCAGAACGCGCUCGACGGUGAGGGAUGAAAGCUGGGGGAGCAAACCGG
rnacentral:rRNA from 1 species